rnacentral:lncRNA from 1 species
AACAGUCAGACAACCAAUAUACACAACAUGUAGGCCAUAAACUCAUUUGAGUUCACCACCAAAGACCUACAACACAAUCAACAUUGGUUAAAAAAAGUGAAUUGCAUCUCAAGCAAGGAGAUCACAUCAUUCAUUAGAACUUAUUGCUUGCACCUGAAAUGCACAACUCAAAAUGUGAGUACAAACCCCUAGGGAAAAG